AACACGUGAGGAGGAAUACUCCUUCCUCCCUGUGAACCAGCACAGGGCAGCUGCGCAUACCAUGCCCACAGCCCCGUUAGGUUGUGUGAAGCCCCAAGUCUGUGACGGGAUCUUGGAGUACAGAGAUCAGCCUUCAUCACCUACCACCAUCAGGCACUGGGGGUGGGGAUGGGGUUCAAGCUGACACCCUGAGAUGACUACUAGGAACUUUGAGGACAACACUGAGUGGCUACAACAGAGACCGUGCAGUUCACUAGGCCCAGAUGUUGACUCACAGGCCACUGGAAGAAGAAAGGUCUCUACACUGUGG
rnacentral:lncRNA from 1 species